rfam:Homo sapiens chromosome 2, GRCh38 reference primary assembly.
CAAUGUUAAAGCUCUUUUAGAAUUUGUCUAGCAGGCAAAUAAAUAAAUAAAAUAAAAUAAAUAAUAUGCCUUU